GACUAAUAAAUUUUUUUGAGGGGGGGGGGCAAAAUGGGGGGCAUUUGCCCCCCCCCAUUUUGCCCCCCCCCCCCUCAAAAAAAUUUAUUAGUCACU
rnacentral:miRNA from 1 species